GGGUGGACUGCAGCGGUCGUACGGUGAAAAACCUAGCCCGCACACGACCCUCGCUCCUUCUCCUCGACCUCCCUCCUCUUCCUCCUCUUCUGCCGCCGCCGCCUCUCCUCUUCUUCUCUCUCCUGUGUUGUCGCCGCUUCUCAUCCCCCUCUCCACGCUAGCACGGUAGGGUCAUCGGGAUGAGCAGCGGCGGGCAUCUGUCGGUGUGCUGGAGUACAGUGGCGGGCUUCUGUGGUGUGCUGGAGUGCGCGGAUGAUGAAAGCAGCGGGAGGAGCACGCAGUGCAGGGUGAGGCAGCGGCCACGACCGCGCCCUCCUCUGCGCUUCCUCUCCAAAUACCCUCGGCUUCCGCACGGUGGAGACGGGUACACGGGCUAGGCAGACCACGGGACGACGGGUGGUCGAGCACCCACCACAGCGAGGAGAGAUCGAGUCCGCACGGUGGAGACGGGGUACACGGGCUAGGCAGGCCACGGGACGAUGGGUGGUCGAGCACCCACCACGGCGAGGAGAGAUCGAGUACAACUCCCAGUUCAUGGAGGGGAUGCUGAAUUGCUGAUACAUGUUUGCUCUCCUCCUCUGCCACUCUCAGGCCCAGCAGGCACCGGCGACACAUGAGCAGGAGGAGGAGCCCUUCCCAGGCUCGCGGGCCGGCUGCGAUGAAGCCGCCAGAGGAGGACCUGGACGACGACUGUGCUAGCCGAGGAGCCCCAAAGAAUUUCCCCAAACUUUCCUCUUGAUUCAUUUAAGUUUUGAUCAUUUCUCUGUAGUAGUUGAAGUUUCUGCCGUACAUUGAUCCUGUUGGAAUUGAAUAAAAGAUCAUUUUAUUAGUUUCCUAUUAGCAUUUUCCAUGAAACAUGAUGAUUACGUUCAGUGAGGUUCUCAAUUUAAUAUUCUGAAUGCACAUAUGUUUGAUAUUCAAUUUGAUAACAAAGUAACCUCGACCAAUAGUUUUUGGCCAUUUGCAUAUAGGUUGAGGGAGUGCUCCUUGCUUCGAGAAGUACUUUUGAUUAAAGCUUCUUCGAUGCCCCAUGAACACUCAGGUUUGCUUUCAAGCUGCAGCGGAUUGUUAAAACGUAUUGUGGUUCAUGAAUUAUUUAGCAAUGAUAAAAUUUUGUCUAUUGUUAUUUGUUUUUAGGAUGUAUCAAGUUCCCCAGGUCGAUGUUUAUCUUAGCACAUGACUGAAUAGUUUGACAAUGUUUAUAAUUUAUCGCUUUCAAGUCAGCCUUUGUGUGAUUCAAAAAGAACACACAGACUGUUGCGGGGUACAAAAUUACUUUUUCAGCUGGGUUUGUUCAAUAGGCCGUAAAUUUUGAGCAGAACCAUACAGAUCAACGGUCCAUGUUUAUAUAUACAUGCAUAAGAAUAUGUGUUGUGCAGCGAGGAUUUGUACAGAUUGGAAAGGGAAUUAACUAACAUCUUCGUAACGGCAGAAUGUUCCGUGAUUCUUCAUGUAAGAUACUAAGAUUUGUUGGUGAUGCUUUGUUUGAGGUUCUGGGUACAAGUUGUUUACAUUGCACUUCAAUUCAGAGCAUGGAGGGCUAAGAUGAUCACCAAUCGAUGACUAUUUCUUGUGUUUAUGGAAAUGGUACCCUGUAAUGAAUACCUUCAGCUACAUAGAUUCCUCAACCAAAGUUCAUGAUGGUUCAAUUUAUUUGAUGUUUUCUUCAGUUUUGGGACGGCAGUCACAGGAGCCAUUGCAUUUUCUUUGUCGCAAUGGCAUUAGGUAGUUGUACCUACUGCGGUUGUUACACUAAUAUCUACUUAUUACCUGUUACUAUAGUUACAAAGCUUCAACAGUUUACUAUAAAUUAGACUGGUUUGAUUCCUAGAUAUCAUUGUAUUUUACCCAUAGGAUCAAUUUCCAAUGAGUUGGUGCCUAGGGUCUUGCAGCGAGCACAUUUUCUUUAGCUGCUGCCAUUUAUUCUGCUGCUUUCCUACAGCCUAGCACUCUUCUGUGGUGGGGCAUAUGUUAUUUUGUACCAAUGAUAGAUACAGAAAGUGCAAGACUUCUACUCUCUACUUAAUGAACUGAUUUUGCUUCAGGAUAACUAGCUUGAUUAUUAGCAUGUUUCUGUGAUCAAUGAAUUACUAAGGUUGUGACCCCAGCUUGGAGGCUUGAGUUCCUUCGGUAGUUCUUUAUUUUACUUAAAUGAUCAUGAACCCUUUACUUAACAUAUGUCCUUGUGUACCUUAGCAAAGAAUUAGUUAGAUAUCUCAAUUUUUCACGUGGGCCGUAGUCGUUGCUUAGUUAGCAUUAUUGUUUUGUUACGUGUUAUCAUGUGUGCUGAACCUAUGCAGAUAGGUCUUACUUUGUCUUAGUUAUAGUUAAGAUCAAUGCGUACUGGAACAUUUAAGUAUUUCACCUAUAAUUUUCCAAGUUUGUGGCGAGCAUAUGUUUUCAUAUUACUGCAGGAGAGGUUGGUUUCACAUUGUAUUUGGAAGAACAAGAUGCCCCAGAUCAAAUAUUACCAAAAAAUCAGAAGAGCUAGGUGUAUAUAUGAUGAGAUGAUCCGCUCUUUACAUUUUUUCUUGACGUGUAAAAGGUGCACUAGCUUGUCUAUGACCCUCAUUGUUGUUUGGAAACAUUUCUGCUCUUCGCUUCAACAAUGCGCUCCUUUUUUUGUGAAGAGCAAUGCACUCAUUGAUGCUACUUUGUUAACAUGUCUUUGUUGGGUCUCGUUCCUUAUUUUUAUACCUACGGAUUUAGCAAGAGACUUUUUUGUCUCUGUAUUUUCACCAUACUUCCAUUCAUAUUUUUAUUAGUGCAGUUUCUGAAUUAUUAUCCAGUGCCUUUUGGAGCUCGAGCUCCAUGGGACCCGAUAUUUGUACAUGUUUCAACCUGUUUUUUCUUGGAAGGUAAUCAUACGCUGAGCGGGAGGGUGUACCUAUUUUUUCAUCAAUUUGCCUUCUUUUGCUCUCCUAUUACCAUUCUCCUUUAGACAUAUCUUAUUUGAGAUUGUGCCUUCUUCGCCUUAUGACAUCUUUUUCUUAGCGAGUAAUUCCACCAUCUUUUUUGUUGUUUGGUUCCUAUUUGCUACUUCAGUGGUUUUUCCCUAAUCCUGAGCUGGUGAUUUUGUUAUUUUGUUUCUACCUGGAGUCUGUAGAAAAGUGAAACCGUUUUACAUUUUAAUUUGCUCUGCAACUAAAGUCAUGUUGGACUCUAGGUGAUGAAGGACUAGCGUUGAGCCUGAGGUGACCUCAGCUCGUUUUUUCAAUUCUGAUUUAGUUCAGAUUUUGAAACAUGAUUGCUACUUCAAAUUUGAUUAUCUUUUUUUGUCUUUCUGUAGUAGUGUUUUGUCUUUUAAAUUGCACUGCUAUUGGUACUUUGAUUCUGCUUCUAACCAUAUACAAGAGCAUCAGCGGGGAGCUAGGCCUACCUCUUAUUUAUGUUCUAUGCAUCUAAAUGCCGCCCUUUUUCAUUUUUACUCUUCUUACAAUUAUCUUGAUGUACGUAAUCUUUUUUUAUUCGGGUGAUUUCGCUCACGAGAUGCUUACAUGGUACUUGAGGUUUAAGCCCAUGUACCCUGCAUGUUUAUUGAUGUGGUUCAUCAUGCCUUCCUAGCUCCUUUUCAGCUGCCUGCUCAAAGUGAUUGGGCAUGUGAUGUUGUUGACACUGCUGUGUAAAUAAUAUUUCGUGCCCAGCAUCUUAGUUCAGCUGAUGGUUUGCAACUUAUAUCACUUACUUUACCUGCUUUAAGUAGGUGAUUUUAAUGCUUUAAGUAGGUGAUUUUAACCUGCUGGAGCCCUCUGUGAUGAAAAAAAGUGAACUGUUCAUGCCUUAUUUUAGAAAACUAAAUAUGCACCAUGCUGAUAUACUUCAUGUCGAGCAUGGUUUUGACAUCCAUUAAUGAUGCCCUGUUUUGACUUUUGAGUAGACGAUUCUUUAUUUAUUAACCUAUACACCAAUACUGUUUCCAUUGAUCAAUCUCAUAGUACUUUGUGUGUGUUUUUCUUAUCUUGAGCUGAAAACUUAUUGUCAGGUUAAACUAUUUUGUGGAUCAUUUAUAAUAUGGAUGUUCUGUAAAAGAAUAUUUACUGGAAUGUUAUGUAAAACCUAAGGCUCAAAAGGAAAGCUUCGGUAAAUUAGAAUAUUUAUUGAAAUAUUUAGGUGUUUCAUUAAAUUGGUCUGGAAGUCCAAGCUCGUCCAUUUAAUUAUUUGAGAGCAUCAUCAGUAUAGUUUUUUCCCCAGAGACACAAUUUUGAAAAAAAAGAUGCAUGGCCACCAAAUGAAUGUGUUGCUAUGCCGACUACUGUCCAGUCCAUUUACACUUCUUAAUUUGCUCUCUCCUGGAUUUCACAGGGCUCGAGUCCUAUAUAUAUUCUAAAUGUAUUUAUGCAAUUUUACUCUGGUGCUUGCACAUCCAUGGAUCUGAAAGUAUUGCGGGAGCUCCCAUGAUGGACUAUGAUGAAAAAGUAUUUCUUGUUGCCUGUUCUGUUGUGGUGCAAGUGUCCCAUGAUGGACUAUGAUGAAAAAGUAGAGAGGGGCAUUGCCCGCUCUACUUCUUUCUCCAGUCAAGGACCUAUCCUGGAACGGCCCUCCUAUGCCCUGCUCCUCCCGCAUUGGUGCAAAUUCGCUUCCUCCCCCGCCUCCGUCUCCACGUGUGCAGCGACGACCCCGGGAGGAGCUCGAGCCGCAGCGGUGGUCCAUGGUGUCAUCGCCGUCGUCCUCGGCAAGCGUGGGCUGCAGAGACGGCCGGAUUUGUCUGACCCUCGCGCUGCCGUCUGUCCACCCUUGAGGAUAAUGUGUUUGCUCCGCUGAUCUGUACAGUUUCAAUACCGAGUUGUUAAGGAGAAUGCUGAUGAUGCAUAUUCUACGAGUUGCAGACCCCCCAACAGCAAAUUCAGUCCUAAGUCUUUGAUGUGGUUCGAGCCAUAGUUGGAGCUAGACAGUCUUUUUGAGCAAAAAAAUGAUAUCGCAAAGGCCAGGAUCAAAAUCAUUACAUAAGUAUAUGUGAAGUGUGAAGAGCUACUUGAAUACACGUGAAAUGCCAUUUCAUUUUAUUUCAGGACUUGAGAGAAAUGCUGAUACUAUGAGAAACGUUUACAAGGAUGACAGACCGUGUGCGGCACAGACCUCGAUGGCGUGCCGCAUCAUUUCGGCCCAACCCCAAUGUUUCCCUCGCCACCCACGGCCAGAUGGUCGAAGACAUCCCGACGGCAGUUCUUAUUUUUGGAAAUAUUUUCCAAGGUGAAGUGUGAAGAGCUACUUGAAUACACGUGAAAUGCCAUUUCAUUUUAUUUCAGGACUUGAGAGAAAUGCUGAUAUUAUGAGAAACGUUUACAAGGAUGACAGACCGUGUGCGGCACAGACCUCGAUGGCGUGCCGCAUCAUUUCGGCCCAACCCCAAUGUUUCCCUCGCCACCCACGGCUAGAUGGUCGAAGACGUCCCGACGAAGCAGCACAUGCCUGUCCCUUCUUUCAUUGGCGGUGGGAGAAAGAGGAUCCACCCGCUCCCUUAUGCUGAUCUGAGCCUUCCUUAGUUUUAAAUUAAGGCAUCGCGGUCAAUUUAUAUGGUCUUCUGAAGUUUCACCUUCCCAUUGUCAUAUUGGUUUGAUCAAAUCAAUGGGGAGCCGGCAUUACUUUGAUGUACUGGCUUACAAUCUUAUUAAGCUGAUGUUCUUGCUCAGUAUAAGCCAACAAUGGAGAAACUGACCAAGCUAUCUUUCAUGAUCAGUCAUUCAGCCCAUUUUCUUGAACCUGCACUACAACGAGAGAUCUGGGCUGCUUCUUUGUGGCUUCCAAACUUGAAAUGUUUGUAUGGAAGUUAGUUUAGUUUUUUGUUGUGGAUUCACAGCUUCUCAAAUGUACCGUCCUCUUAGACCUCUAGAUUUCCAAAGAAACUAAAUGAAGAUAUGGUGGUAUGGUCUCAAUAGUACAACUUAAAGCCUUCCGUGCUUUAUAUUUUCUCUGAAAUUUGCUCUUGAA